CGGGAAGAAAAGCUCCCUCAGGGAGGGACAGCGGGCGGGCGCAACGUGAGGGGAAAAUGUCAAUGUGGUCCUCUUAGUCUCUGCUGCAGCAAAAGCACUGCGCAAAAGGUGGACCUCCUGGAUUUGUGAGCACAGUCUGCCAUGAUAGCAGUGUUGUGCACCACAGCCACAAUCCUGCUGACUAAAAUCCAAAUAGGCUGUAAAAAGAAGAAAACUCAGAGAGGGUCUCCUGACUGUCAACUUAAAAGUAGAAGUCGAAAGAGAACAAUGUUUUUGGAGAAGUCAUCAGCUAUAAAUAAAGCAGUUCAUAGCAUCUGAUAAACAGCCUCCUGUAAAGGGAUCCGUGUAAAUACAUUCUGUUCCUUCUCUGUGUGCUGUCGUCCUUUGUUUGCCUAUUUUUCAUCAGCUGAAGGCAGCUGCCAGUCAUUCUGCACUCUCUAAACAGAUACUGUGAUUGUGGCAAAUUUUGUGAGCUGUGAGAAUGCCGAAACCCAUGGAGGUUGCAGGGAAGAAAACUAAAUUUAGCAUUGUCUUGCUGUCACCAGCUUCUCCCAUAUGCACCUGCAGAAAUGAAUCUGCAGUGGCUGGAAGCAGCAGUAGGGAAGCCCGCAGCUGUUUGAAACUCAUUUCCCCAUCUGGUGUCAGCUUCACUGUCUGGUGCCUUUAGGAAACCUAGGAUGAUGUGAGAAUUGGAGGAAAAAAAAUAAAAAAGCAGUAAAGGAAAAUUAAAGCAACGUCAUAAAAUUCUCUUGUAGUCAAAUGAUUUUUCCCAUUAAAAUACAGCUCCUCUGCAGUAAAUCUGCACCAUGGUGAAGCAGAUGGUGCUGUGGUGUGCGGUUUUUUUGCAAAGUGAGAAAGAAGGAGAGACAGUUCUGACAGCUGAACAUAUCACACCACACAGCUAUUUUAGUACAAAUCAUACCAUUUGGAUCUUACUAGGCAUACUGCCUUGGAGAAGAUGGAGAACAAACAAAAAGAAAUGCUUUUCACUGUAGACUCACGGGUAGAGUAGGUAACACUUAAUGUAUCCUUGAGUAGACAAUGUGAUUUAGGCUUAUUAGUGUUUUUACUGCACCCAGUCUUUAUGAGCCCAAACUUUCUUGUAUGGUUCAGUGUAGCGUAGACAUUUCAAUUUAAGAAUCUGAUCACCAUUACCUAACAUCAUUUUUAAAGUCUUCUGUGAGUUUCUGUUACAAUUAAUUUCUGUAUUUUUGUUUGCAUGUUUUUGUUUUGUUCUGUUUUCCUAUCACUUUUUGAAUUUCUUAUCGAGCUUUAAUAUUUCUCUUGGAAGAGGUUUAUAGCUGUUUUCUGUGGACAUCAGCAGUGCUCAUUCAGUUUUCUGUGUUGACCCUUUAACAAAAGUCUGUGUCUCUUCCUUUACCCGCCACUUUUACAAUCCCAUUUGAGCCCAGAGAUGUGAAUGCUUCAACUUUAUUUAUUGGCAGACCUAACUCAAGCAAAUUCCAAGCAAUGAGCAUGCAUAAAUCCACUGUAAUUUUAAAAAGAGGGAAAGUCUUAAAUUCUCUGUACCCCAGUAGAGCAGUUUUCCACUAUUUUUAUUUUAUUACUUCUCUAUCUAUCUUCAUCACCAAAAUCUUGGUGAAGAAGUGAGCCUUUCAAACUGAGUAACAGGAACCUGUCCAUAAGGCUCCAUAAGAAAAAGCAGCAGUCUGUACAAACUGAUCGCAUAUUCCCAGGAACAAAAGCACAGACUGCCUGCUGCACGCCAUUCAGGGACCAUAAAGCAGUCAGAAAGC